CGCUCGAGUGAAUGCUGAAAGAGGCGCGAUCGAGACUCAGUUACCUGCCGCGCGACUGCAAACCAGUCUCUGCGCACAUUCAGCGGUUUAUUUAUUUCUAAUAGCAAGUUUGAUACGUGGUUUAUUUCGUCCGCACGUUUCCAGUAAGCCUCACAGCCGAAAUGGAUGGCGAUUCGCUGUUUGGUGUCUCGGGUCUGAUCAUGGAGACGAAUCAGAUCCUCUCAGAUCAGCAGAUGGACGCUGGAUCCAGCGUAACGUGGAGAGUGCAGCCUGAUGGGCAGAUCUUCCAGCGGCAGGAACGUAACACA